rnacentral:rRNA from 1 species
UGUCUAUUUGAAGUUAUUUAUAGUCUAGCCUGCUCAGUGACAUUAAAGGUGUUAAAUAGCCGCGGUAUCCUGACCGUGCAAAGGUAGCAUAAUCAUUAGUUUUUUAAUUGAGAACUUGUAUGAAGGGUUGGACAAAGAAAAAGCUGUCUCUUUAAUUAAGAUUGAAAUUAACCUCUAAGUGAAAAGGCUUAGAUUAUCUAGAGGGACGAUAAGACCCUAUAAAGCUUUAUAAUGUUAAAAAUUCUAUGUAUUUUAUCUUAUAGAAAUGAGUUUUAAACCAUUUAUUGAGUUGGGGCGACAAAGGUAUAAUUUAAAGUAACUGCCGAUAAAUGUUACAAUUAUGUUUGUGUUAAAUAAUGUAUAGUUGAUCCCUUUUAAGGAUUAGGAGAUCAAGUUACUUUAGGGAUAACAGCGUAAUUUCACCUGAGAGUUCUUAUCAAAGGAGAAGUUUGCGACCUCGAUGUUGAAUUAAAAUGUCUUUAUAGUGCAGCAGCUAUAAAAGAAG